GACGAACGCUGGCGGCGUGCCUAAUACAUGCAAGUAGAACGCACAGUUUAUACCGUAGCUUGCUACACCAUAGACUGUGAGUUGCGAACGGGUGAGUAACGCGUAGGUAACCUGCCUGGUAGCGGGGGAUAACUAUUGGAAACGAUAGCUAAUACCGCAUAAUAUUGAUUAUUGCAUGAUAAUUGAUUGAAAGAUGCUAUUGCAUCACUACCAGAUGGACCUGCGUUGUAUUAGCUAGUAGGUGAGGUAACGGCUCACCUAGGCGACGAUACAUAGCCGACCUGAGAGGGCGAUCGGCCACACUGGGACUGAGACACGGCCCAGACUCCUACGGGAGGCAGCAGUAGGGAAUCUUCGGCAAUGGACGAAAGUCUGACCGAGCAACGCCGCGUGAGUGAAGAAGGUUUUCGGAUCGUAAAGCUCGGUUGUAAGAGAAGAACGGGUGUGAGAGUGGAAAGUUCACACUGUGACGGUAUCUUACCAGAAAGGGACGGCUAACUACGUG
rnacentral:rRNA from 1 species